UACGGGGGGGGCAAGCGUUGUUCGGAAUUACUGGGCGUAAAGGGCUUGUAGGCGGUUUGUCGCGUCUGCCGUGAAAAUCCGAGGCUCAACCUCGGACUUGCGGUGGGUACGGGCAGACUAGAGUGUGGUAGGGGAGACUGGAAUUCCUGGUGUAGCGGUGAAAUGCGCAGAUAUCAGGAGGAACACCGAUGGCGAAGGCAGGUCUCUGGGCCACUACUGACGCUGAGAAGCGAAAGCAUGGGGAGCGAACAGG
rnacentral:rRNA from 1 species